rnacentral:rRNA from 1 species
GUGGGGAAUCUUCCGCAAUGGACGAAAGUCUGACGGAGCAACGCCGCGUGAGUGAAGAAGGUUUUCGGAUCGUAAAGCUCUUUCGUUAGGGACGAACGUGCUCUUUGUGAAUAAUGAGGAGUAAUGACGGUACCAAAAUAAGAAGCAACGGCUAACUACGUGCCAGCAGCCGCGGUAAUACGUAGGUGGCAAGCGUUGUCCGGACUUAUUGGGCGUAAAGCGCGCGCAGGCGGGAUAUCAAGUCUGUCUUAAAAGUGCGAGGCUCAACCUCGUGAGGGGACAGAAACUGGUAUUCUUGAGUGUCGGAGAGGAAAGUGGAAUUCCAAGUGUAGCGGUGAAAUGCGUAGAGAUUUGGAAGAACACCAGUGGCGAAGGCGACUUUCUGGACGAUGUCUGACGCUGAGGCGCGAAAGCUAGGGGAGCGAACGGGAUUAGAUACCCUGGUAGUCC